rnacentral:rRNA from 1 species
GGUUAAGCGACUAAGCGUACACGGUGGAUGCCCUGGCAGUCAGAGGCGAUGAAGGACGUGCUAAUCUGCGAAAAGCGUCGGUAAGGUGAUAUGAACCGUUAUAGCCGGCGAUGUCCGAAUGGGGAAACCCAGUGCAAUUCGUUGCACUAUCGUUAACUGAAUACAUAGGUUAACGAGGCGAACCGGGGGAACUGAAACAUCUAAGUACCCCGAGGAAAAGAAAUCAACCGAGAUUCCCCCAGUAGCGGCGAGCGAACGGGGAGCAGCCCAGAGUCUGAAUCAGCUUGUGUGUUAGUGGAACGGUCUGGAAAGUCCGACGGUACAGGGUGAUAGUCCCGUACACCAAAAUGCACAGGCUGUGAACUCGAAGAGUAGGGCGGGACACGUGGUAUCCUGUCUGAAUAUGGGGGGACCAUCCUCCAAGGCUAAAUACUCCUGACUGACCGAUAGUGAACCAGUACCGUGAGGGAAAGGCGAAAAGAACCCCGGCGAGGGGAGUGAAAAAGAACCUGAAACCGUGUACGUACAAGCAGUGGGAGCACCUUCGGGUGUGACUGCGUACCUUUUGUAUAAUGGGUCAGCGACUUAUAUUCUGUAGCAAGGUUAACCGUAUAGGGGAGCCGCAGGGAAACCGAGUCUUAACUGGGCGUUAAGUUGCAGGGUAUAGACCCGAAACCCGGUGAUCUAGCCAUGGGCAGGUUGAAGGUUGGGUAACACUAACUGGAGGACCGAACCGACUAAUGUUGAAAAAUUAGCGGAUGACUUGUGGCUGGGGGUGAAAGGCCAAUCAAACCGGGAGAUAGCUGGUUCUCCCCGAAAGCUAUUUAGGUAGCGCCUCGUGAACUCAUCUUCGGGGGUAGAGCACUGUUUCGGCUAGGGGGUCAUCCCGACUUACCAACCCGAUGCAAACUACGAAUACCGAAGAAUGUUAUCACGGGAGACACACGGCGGGUGCUAACGUCCGUCGUGAAGAGGGAAACAACCCAGACCGCCAGCUAAGGUCCCAAAGUCAUGGUUAAGUGGGAAACGAUGUGGGAAGGCACAGACAGCCAGGAUGUUGGCUUAGAAGCAGCCAUCAUUUAAAGAAAGCGUAAUAGCUCACUGGUCAAGUCGGCCUGCGCGGAAGAUGUAACGGGGCUAAACCAUGCACCGAAGCUGCGGCAGCGACACUAUGUGUUGUUGGGUAGGGGAGCGUUCUGUAAGCCUGCGAAGGUGACCUGUGAGGGUUGCUGGAGGUAUCAGAAGUGCGAAUGCUGACAUAAGUAACGAUAAAGCGGGUGAAAAGCCCGCUCGCCGGAAGACCAAGGGUUCCUGUCCAACGUUAAUCGGGGCAGGGUGAGUCGACCCCUAAGGCGAGGCCGAAAGGCGUAGUCGAUGGGAAACAGGUUAAUAUUCCUGUACUUGGUGUUACUGCGAAGGGGGGACGGAGAAGGCUAUGUUAGCCGGGCGACGGUUGUCCCGGUUUAAGCAUGUAGGCUGAUUGUCCAGGCAAAUCCGGAUAAUCAAGGCUGAGGUGUGAUGACGAGGCACUACGGUGCUGAAGUAACAAAUGCCCUGCUUCCAGGAAAAGCCUCUAAGCAUCAGGUAACAUCAAAUCGUACCCCAAACCGACACAGGUGGUCAGGUAGAGAAUACCAAGGCGCUUGAGAGAACUCGGGUGAAGGAACUAGGCAAAAUGGUGCCGUAACUUCGGGAGAAGGCACGCUGGUGUGUAGGUGAAGUCCCUGCGGAUGGAGCUGAGACCAGUCGAAGAUACCAGCUGGCUGCAACUGUUUAUUAAAAACACAGCACUGUGCAAACACGAAAGUGGACGUAUACGGUGUGACGCCUGCCCGGUGCCGGAAGGUUAAUUGAUGGGGUUAUCCGUAAGGAGAAGCUCUUGAUCGAAGCCCCGGUAAACGGCGGCCGUAACUAUAACGGUCCUAAGGUAGCGAAAUUCCUUGUCGGGUAAGUUCCGACCUGCACGAAUGGCGUAAUGAUGGCCAGGCUGUCUCCACCCGAGACUCAGUGAAAUUGAACUCGCUGUGAAGAUGCAGUGUACCCGCGGCAAGACGGAAAGACCCCGUGAACCUUUACUAUAGCUUGACACUGAACAUUGAGCCUUGAUGUGUAGGAUAGGUGGGAGGCUUUGAAGCGUGGACGCCAGUCUGCGUGGAGCCAACCUUGAAAUACCACCCUUUAAUGUUUGAUGUUCUAACGUUGGCCCCUGACCGGGGUUGCGGACAGUGUCUGGUGGGUAGUUUGACUGGGGCGGUCUCCUCCCAAAGCGUAACGGAGGAGCACGAAGGUUAGCUAAUCCUGGUCGGACAUCAGGAGGUUAGUGCAAUGGCAUAAGCUAGCUUGACUGCGAGCGUGACGGCGCGAGCAGGUGCGAAAGCAGGUCAUAGUGAUCCGGUGGUUCUGAAUGGAAGGGCCAUCGCUCAACGGAUAAAAGGUACUCCGGGGAUAACAGGCUGAUACCGCCCAAGAGUUCAUAUCGACGGCGGUGUUUGGCACCUCGAUGUCGGCUCAUCACAUCCUGGGGCUGAAGUAGGUCCCAAGGGUAUGGCUGUUCGCCAUUUAAAGUGGUACGCGAGCUGGGUUUAGAACGUCGUGAGACAGUUCGGUCCCUAUCUGCCGUGGGCGCUGGAGAAUUGAGGGGGGCUGCUCCUAGUACGAGAGGACCGGAGUGGACGCAUCACUGGUGUUCGGGUUGUCAUGCCAAUGGCACUGCCCGGUAGCUAAAUGCGGAAGAGAUAAGUGCUGAAAGCAUCUAAGCACGAAACUUGCCCCGAGAUGAGUUCUCCCUGAGACUUUAAGUCUCCUGAAGGAACGUUGAAGACGACGACGUUGAUAGGCCGGGUGUGUAAGCGCAGCGAUGCGUUGAGCUAACCGGUACUAAUGAACCGUGAGGCUUAACCUU